CCCCUCCACAGGCCAAGAUCCUCAGGUUCGGCACUUUAGCGAACAGCUCCAGUCUGUGAGAAACACAAAACAACAACAACAACAGCUUUUGUGAAAAACCCCAGAGGUCCUCAAAGAUCCUCCAUCGAUCCUCGUCCACACAAACAGAAAGCAGGAAACCUCAUCGUCACAACGAGAGUCGGGUGCAUCCGGGGCAUCAGUGAGGCGGAUCUUACCCCUCUCUGGGUCCACCCUUGGUCAGGUCAAACACCUGACGAGGGUUCAGGUACCACAUGAAGGACUGGAUGAUCUUCGCUCCCUGGAAAAAAAAGAAAAGAAACACAGAGAUUAUUUUCUAAUUCUACGAUCUCCCUGAAGUGGAACACGAGUCUGAUCUCACUGGAUUUCUACAUUAACGUAUGAGUAAGACCACCUGGUUCCCGCCGCUCUUCGGGUUUACAAAGACCAGCAGAGGCUUCAUGAGCGGAGAGGGCACGGGCUUCAGCAGGAAGGGCUUCCAGCGGCUGUCUUGGAGCUGAGAAGUGCCUCACCAGAGACUUGGCGAUGCAGUACUGCUCGCCCACGUAGCAGAAGUCUCCGGAGCCGCUGGUCUCAAACCAGAUGUGCUCACCGAACUGGGCAUUUUCCUGCACCACACAAGAACAAGCGCACGUCAUCAUUCAUCAGACAGUUUGACAUGAGGUCACAUGACCCUCGGAUCAGAGACGGAGUGACGUCUCGCAGCUUACUGUGCCGUCCAUAACCAGGCAACCUGACGCACAGACCUGACCUGAUUAUCAAGAGGUGAACAGUAACCAGUGCCUCGUUCCCAGGCUGUGAUGUGUGACGGGCAACAAACAAACCAAAAACCCAAGAACCUGGACUCUCUGGAUCUGUCUAACCCAGGACCAGGACCAAGAUCAGGACCAGGUUCAGAGUUUCAUCCCUGAUUGUUCCCGCUGAAUUCUGAGCUCUUUUGUUGUUUCUCUGUCUCUGUCUCUCUCUCUGUCUCUCUCUCUGUCUUGAACACAUAUGAAUGAAGCCGCCGACCCACUCCACCAUCCCAGAAUACUCUUCAUUAACACUUCAAGGCUCUGGGUCUACUGCAUUAUGGAUCCAAUUUAAAAAUAAAUAAAUUAAU